CCCGGUCGCACCGGGCCGGGCCGGGCCGCCGCCCUCCCCUCCGCCCAAAGACAGGCAUGCCCGGCCUUGGAGGAAAAGAGAGCCGGACCAAGAAGACAUUUUUGAAGUCCAAGGAAGGAGGGGCAAAACAAACAAACAAAAGCAUAAUAAAUACCCGGGCUGUUUUAUAUACAUAUAUAUAACGAAACCGGAAGAGAAAAAGGGGGCGACCCUGAGAUCUCGUCUAUACUGCGGUGGUGUUUCGUUUCCUUUCUCUUUUUCUUUUUAAAGAAGGGUGAAGAUGCCUAGCGCACCAAAACUGCACUCGUGAGGUUGCUCCCACCCUGAGAAGUCCUACCCGGCAGCGGUGGACAGCACCUAGCACCUGCCUCGUCCUCUCCUCUUAAAAAAAAAAAGGAAAAAAAAUCGCAUCCCCUUUCCCACCACCCCCUCCCUCCAAAGGGCUGCCUGCAGUGAUCCAGCAAAACUUUGCCUCUUGGGAGCGAUCUGAGAGGAAGCAGAGGCACCGGGUUUAAUCAGGGGAUGCCUCUGUGCUCCGGGACCCUGUUUUUCUUGGCCAUAUUAAAGUCAUUGGGGACAAAUGAAUUGACUAUGAAAUGGGAAGGAGAAAAAAAGAACAGUCUCCAGCAAAAUAUAUAUAUUCACAGCUUCUGAAAUUAGCAGACUGUAUAGCAAAGCCAAAAGAAAAGAAUAAGUAUUCUCAAAGUAACCUUGGAAAUAAAAGCAUCACAAAAGAGCAGAGGGAUGGGCGAGGGAGAAGGGGACGUCCUCCGAGGAGUGGGAGAGGCCCGGGCCGAGCUGGCGCGCGCGGGCGGACUGGGCGCGGAGAGAGGCCCGGCCGCCAACCCCGGCUUUAACGGCUGCCACUCGGGCUCGGGCGGACGACGCCUAAAGAUUCCACCGCUAAUAUUUUUUUUAUUAAUAUUUUUUAUUUUUUAUUUCUGGACUGACUCAGAUAAAGGGAUUUAGAAAGACUGAGCACCAGCCGCUGCGCUUCUCUGGACUCCUCUCCUUAAUCCGUUGCCAACUUUGAUUGAAUGGGUGCUGUGGAUGUGAUUAUAUAAUACUGCCAUUUCCAAGCAGUGUUUUUGGAUGCUUCAAGCUCCUGCCUACGCACCCAGCUGCACCCAGAGACAUCUUCCUCCCUCCCACCUCGCCAGCCAGCACCACCGUUCAGCCACAGGGUCAGACUUAAUGGAGCUGAGCACACUUCCUAUCAAGCUUCCUGUGGAAAGCCAGUCAGCUGAGACUGAGAAAGGCCGCCACACGCUCGAAGUCCCUGGAAAUCAAACGGGGAGCCGGGCACGGGGGCAGUGGCCCUUUCAGGCUAUUGCUUUGAUACUUUUGAUACGGGCUUGGGUUUCUCUAGAAGACUCUGGCGCUGCCUCCUCCAUGUAGCUCUGAGAGAACAUCCAUGCCCCUUGUCUGGGCCACGGGGCCUAGGCAACUCCGAUGAGUUGUGAAUUUCUGAAAAGUACCAACGCCUAGACUCAGGAAAUUAAGAAAUUCUGCCAUGUGUCUUCAUUAGUAUUUUUCAGUGCAGGGUUUGAUAUCAUCAACUUAGCCCCUAAAUUAAAGCAAUGAAUAUAACAGUCACAAUGCAAUAAAGUCAAUGUUAUGAUAGUUUUAUUUGAAAUGUACUGUUCUCUACAAGUGGGAACUAAUCGAUAUAAAUAUAUUACACAUACAUUAUUUGAGAGAAAGCCCACCGCCUUCUUAGGAAAAGUGAACAGCCGAGAGUGGGCAAUUUCAGACUGAUUUAUGAACUGAGAAAAUCCUUCUGUUUUUUUUUUUUAAUUUUUUUUUUUUGCCUAAAAUGGUCAGGAGGUGAUGAAGACUGACUUCCCAGCCCUUCACUGCCAAAUCUUAACUUUCUGAAAACUUACAGAAAUGCUUGAUUAAAACUAGAAUAAAAAUCUCCAGUUGCCUUCAGCAAACCACAGCACAAGGGUGGGAAAAACAGUGCCAGGUUGCAGUUUAAGUAUAGUUACUUGGCGCCUGCUGAAAGCACUGCUCCCUUCCUGUUUAAUAAUUAAUUCAACUUUAAAGCCCCAAGGAUCUGGACUCGGCACCAGCUUCACAAAGCAGUACAGAAACAAAAUGCUUCCAGAACCGGAGGGGGGACGGAGGAAGAAAGAAUCUAACAUUUCAAGAAACAUCACCACAUGGGGCCGGUAUGAGGAAGAACUUUUCCAGAAUGACCACAAGCAGACCCACCUGCAACCACACAAUCCAGUAUCAAACUGCACGGAGUGUGUUGUUGUAUUCCAGGAAACCUAAGCACCCCAAAGCCUGGCAAAGAGAUGGUGCGGACCAGCAACAAAUGGAUUAAUUACACGAAAUGAAGGCCCAGGGCGGCCGGAGUAAAGAGGAAAGCUAUUUAAACAUCAAAUGUAUUUACUUUUCGCUUAUUAUUAUUAUAGAGGAGGCAUGGCGUGGAACACUCACAUACAUCCUCUGAGACCAUCGUAGGGUAUUUCGAAAAAGACAUUCAAGUAAUUAAAUGGUUGAGUUGAACAAAUAAUGACCUGAAUACUUUUCCCAAUCCCUAAAAAGAGAUGUUUUUAACACUCUAUGAUUGUCAAAACUAUAUGGAUUUUCUUUAUAUGUCACUUAAUACAUAAAUUAGUUAUAAACGUUUAAAUCACACCUCCUUCAUAUCUUUUUCUCCCAUGUCAGACUGAUGGCAUUGCCUUGAAAAUGCAGCAGCCGUCUUUCAAAAAUAAGCUUUGUAUUCUUCUCGACUGAGUCCACAAAACUGCCAAAUGCAAGUCUGAAACUAGUUUCCAGUUAUUAAACAGUUUCAAAACCAGAAGGUCAAUAUGUUUUCUCUAUUUUUGAGUCAGUGAACAUCUAGCUGUUAUUUUUUAUUUUUCUUUAUUUUUUUGCUGAG
rnacentral:lncRNA from 1 species